rnacentral:rRNA from 1 species
UACGUAGGUGGCAAGCGUUGUCCGGAUUUAUUGGGUUUAAAGGGUGCGUAGGCGGCUUAUUAAGUCAGUGGUGAAAUAUGGCAGCUUAACUGUCAGGGUGCCAUUGAUACUGAUGAGCUUGAGUACAGAUGAGGUAGGCGGAAUUGACGGUGUAGCGGUGAAAUGCAUAGAUAUCGUCAAGAACACCUAUAGCGAAGGCAGCUUACUAAGCUGUAACUGACGCUGAGGCACGAAAGCGUGGGUAGCAAACAGG